GACGAACGCUGGCGGCGUGCUUAACACAUGCAAGUCGAGCGGUAAGGCCCUUUCGGGGGUACACGAGCGGCGAACGGGUGAGUAACACGUGGGUGACCUGCCCUCAGCUCUGGGAUAAGCCUGGGAAACCGGGUCUAAUACUGGAUAUGACUCCAUGACGCAUGUUGUGGGGUGGAAAGCCUUGUGCGGCUGAGGAUGGGCCCGCGGCCUAUCAGCUUGUUGGUGGGGUGANGGCCUACCAAGGCGACGACGGGUAGCCGGCCUGAGAGGACGAUCAGCCACACUGGCACUGCGACGCGGGCCAGACUCCUACGGGAGGCAGCAGUAAGGAAUAUUGCGCAAUGGGCGAAAGCCUGACGCAGCGACGCCGCGUGGGGGAUGAAGGUCUCGGAUUAGUAAACCCUUUCGGGAGGGAAAUGGAACGAGCAAUCGUUCGGAUGGUACCUCCAGAAGCAGCCACGGCUAACUUCGUGCCAGCAGCCGCAGUAA
rnacentral:rRNA from 1 species